GCCCGGUUAGCUCAAUCGGUAGAGCGUGAGACUCUUAAUCUCAAGGUUGCGGGUAAGUCUCACAUUCGAAUCCCUCCUAUGGUG